rnacentral:rRNA from 1 species
AGAGUUUGAUCUGGCUCAGGAUGAACGCUGGCGGCGUGCCUAACACAUGCAAGUCGAGCGAUUUACUUCGGUAAAGAGCGGCGGACGGGUGAGUAACGCGUGGGUAACCUGCCCUGUACACACGGAUAACAUACCGAAAGGUAUGCUAAUACGGGAUAAUGUACUUUUGUCGCAUGGCAAAAGUAUCAAAGCUCCGGCGGUACAGGAUGGACCCGCGUCUGAUUAGCUAGUUGGAGAGGUAAUGGCUCACCAAGGCAACGAUCAGUAGCCGACCUGAGAGGGUGAUCGGCCACAUUGGAACUGAGACACGGUCCAAACUCCUACGGGAGGCAGCAGUGGGGAAUAUUGCACAAUGGGCGAAAGCCUGAUGCAGCAACGCCGCGUGAGCGAUGAAGGCCUUCGGGUCGUAAAGCUCUGUCCUCAAGGAAGAUAAUGACGGUACUUGAGGAGGAAGCCCCGGCUAACUACGUGCCAGCAGCCGCGGUA